rnacentral:lncRNA from 1 species
GGAACAGAGUCAAGUGCAGGCUGAGCCAGACCCUCAGGGCCUGGGCACUGGAGGGCAGGGCAGGACAGAGGAGGCGGGAGGCCCGGCUGCCCUGGCAGGUUGGCGAGCAGACGCUGGCUUCGUAGACUUCACCAGCAUAGAACACAAGGCUGCCUCUGCAGGAGACCUGGAUCCAUGGAAGGGAUGUGGUGGAGCCCCCUGCAAACUCCCCUGUCUAAGCCCCAGCUCCCUCUCUGCCCCACAGCCAGUGCUUUGCCUACAGGAUAUUCCAUUUGGAGCCCCAGGCCCAUGUGGCCCUUCUGCCAGAGCCAGGGAGCCCACUGCAGCCCUGAGGGCACUCACAUGGACAUGUUCUGGAAGCCUGUGCCAUUCUCCCAGCUGUCGAAGACGGGGAUUGUGCAGGGUGAGAGAAUGGUCCUCCAUGGCCCAGGGACAUCACCCAGGCAGCACUACCCACUGGGUGCAUAGGUGCAUGCCGACAGGGAAACUGAGGCGAAGAAGGGGCAGGGAUCCCACAGCAGUCGCACCACAAGGCUGGUCUCCCGCCUCCUGGUCCCCACCCUCUGGAGAAGCACACCCAGUUCUAGUGGACUAAAUGGGACACAAGGAAGCGUGAUGUGCCACAGUGCAGGGCAGGCCCAGCACUGUGGCAGCGGAAUACCUGAAAUGGAAGUGCAGCAGGACUGUGAUCAGCGAGGCCACGAUGGAGAUGCUGCAGCCCACGAGGGAGAUGUACGUAAGAGGUGCCAGCAACUCUGCAGGGACCAGGGCUGGGGAGAGUUGCUGCAGGAGGGAAGAGGGGCUGGAGGCCAGAAGCAUAGUAUCGCCCUUCCUCCCAGCCUCAGUCAGAGGGACCUCCUGAGGCCUCCUCUCCAAGUCCCCUUCCCCACAAGCCUAGCCAUGGACCUGGCUUGAACAAGGCCAUGGCAGAUACAGUCAGUUUUGCCCCCUCCACAUCUCCCAUCUCCCUCUUCUUCUAUGAGUGCCUCCCUUCUCCCACUCCCUAUGCACCUGUGGGGUUCCACCACUUUGCCCUCUUUGUGCAGAAAGGGGUGCCAGGCCUGGUCAAGCAGGGCCCUCCCUCCUUCUGCCUAUAGCGAUUGGGUCAGGGAUGAGCACAUGGCUGGCAGAACUGGGUAAAAGAAGAUUUUAUUCCACUGGCCUGAAAGCUAGCAGGGCAUGAGCCUGGAACUGCUGCCAGCUAUAUUAUUAUCUCAUAAGGAGAUCCUAUUUGAGGGCUAAGCCAGCACAGAGCAAGCACAGUUGAGGGACAAAGAUAGAGUGCUAUCUUAGUGAUCUUAGUGAUCAGCCCGUGGAUCAAGCCAUGCCUGAAGCCUAACCCAGCCUUUCCAGAAACAUGAGUCCAUAAAGUUUUUUUUGUUUUUUGCUUAAGCCCAUUUCAGUUGGACUUUCUGUCCCUUGCACCAGCUUUUGCCUUGCUCCUCUGCCACAGACACAGGGCCCUCUGUAGCUCUGAGCCCCACUCAGGAUGCAUACAUACCAUGAGAACAGCAAAGUAGGUGAGGUGGUUGCAGCGGCAGAGCACCUGAGAGUGGGAGGGCUGCUCUGUACGACAGCCCUCAGGGCUCCAGCCCCCCCAGGGCUGUUUCCUGGCUCCCUCCUUCCAGAAGACACAGGUCAGGGUGUAGCCUUCCUGGGUGGAGAUGCUGGGUCAGUCAUAGGGUGCAGAGGAAAGGCUGCAGAUCAGUGUCUGGGAGUCCUGGGGGCCAACGGUGACUCAACUGCACAUUUGCCAACAUUUUACCAGGCACUGGCUGGCCUUUGGCUUCAGACAGUCUCAGAUUCCUGUCCCACCUCCACUGUGGGCUCUCAGAGUGACCCAGGCAAGACACCAAGUUGCUCUGAGCCUCAGUUUAGUCAUCUACAGAAUAGGAUCAUUCGUACCCAUGUUACAACAAUGGUGGAAAAACAAAGGGCAACACGGAAUCUUGAGUGUCCAGCUCUGGCCUUUUAUACAGUAGGCGCUCCAUAACCAGCUGAUCCCUUCCCUUCCUCCCCAUGGGGAACAGCAAUGUGCUCAGACCCACGCCUGGUUGGGGGAGACUCAUCCACAGACAACCCUAAUGCCAAGCCACGUGGGUGGAGAAGUGG